AUUGAACGCUGGCGGCAGGCCUAACACAUGCAAGUCGAACGAGUGGCGGACGGGUGAGUAAUGUCUGGGAAAAUGCCCGAUGGAGGGGGAUAACUACUGGAAACGGUAGCUAAUACCGCAUACCAUCGGAUGUGCCCAGAUGGGAUUAGCUAGUAGGUGGGGUAACGGCUCACCUAGGCGACGAGCCCUAGAUGGGCUGAGAGGAUGACCAGCCACACUGGGACUGAGACACGGUCCAGACUACUACGGGAGGCAGCAGUGGGGAAUAUUGCACAAUGGGCGCAAGCCUGAUGCAGCAAUGCCGCGUGUAUGAAGAAGGCCUUCGGGUUGUAAAGUACUUUCAGCAGGGAGGCGUUACCCGCAGAGGAAGCACCGGCUAACUCCGUGCCAGCAGCCGCGGUAAUAC
rnacentral:rRNA from 1 species